ACGAACGCUGGCGGCGUGCUUCACACCUGCCAGUCGAACGGGUCUGCCCUGUUUUUUGCGGGGUGGGUCAGUGGCGAACGGGUGAGUAACACGUGAGUAACCUGCCCCUCACUUCUGGAUAACCGCUUGAAAGGGUGGCUAAUACGGGGUGUUCUGACUGUGCCGCAUGGUGUGGCUGGGAAAGAUUCACUUUUGUGGUGUUUUGGUGGGGGAUGGGCUCGCGGCCUAUCAGCUUGUUGGUGGGGUGAUGGCCUGCCAAGGCUUUGACGGGUAGCCGGCCUGGGAGGGUGGGCGGUCACACUGGGACUGAGAUACGGCCCAGACUCCUGCGGGAGGCAGCAGUGGGGGGUAUUGCACAAUGGGCGGAAGCCUGAUGCAGCGACGUCGCGUGAGGGAUGGAGGCCUUCGGGUUGUGAACCUCUUUCGCCGGUGAAGAAGGUCCUGCUCUUUGUGGUGGGGUUGACGGUAGCCGGGUUAUGAAGCGCCGGCUAACUACGUG
rnacentral:rRNA from 1 species